UAAAUAAUACUCUUACUAUUAUUUUUUUUGAAUUUUAUUAGAAAUAUCUUUAAAUUUAGUAUAUUAAGGAAAUAUUGUUUAGUGUUAUAGUUUACUUUUACUGUGAAGGAACUGAUGAAAUAAUUGAAAAUUGAAUUUGUUUUAAGUAAUUUUUAUUUAUUGUACCUUUUGUAUCAGGGUUGAUUAAAUAUUAUUAAUUUAUUUUAAUUUCCCGAUUUCAGGAGAGCUAAUUUAUUAUUUUAUUUAUUGUUGCAUAACUAUUAAUAAUAUAAAUUAGGGAAGAAAUUUCAUUCGUUCUUGAUGGUAUCUGGUUUUUUAAGAAAUAAAUUUAAUUCUUUUUCAUUAAUUAAAUUAUUUAUUUAAAUAUAGUUUAUUUAUUGAAUUUAAUAUUAUAGGGGAUAAGCUCUAUAUUUUUCUAURAGUUUAUAUUUAUUUAUUUUGUGUAGGGUUAAAAUUAUCCAUCAUUUAAAAGUAUGUUAUAAUAUAAAUUAAUUAUUAAUUGAUUUUAUUUACUUUAGAUUUUUAUUAAAACGUUGAAUAAAAUUUUAAUAUUCAAGUGAUAAUGAUUAAAUUAGUAUAUUUAUUUUGUUUUGAAUUAAUUUAAUGAGAUGAUAAAUUAAGGAACUCGGCAAAUAUAACACUCGCCUGUUUAACAAAAACAUGGCCUCUUGAUAUAAAUAGGAGGUCAUGACCUGCCCAGUGAUUUAUUCAACGGCCGCGGAAUAUUGACCGUGCAAAGGUAGCAUAAUCAUUAGUCUUUUAAAAGAGGGCUGGAAUGAAAGGUUUGACGAGGUGUURGCUGUCUCAUUUKAUUUGUAUUUUAGAAUUUAASUUUUUAGUUAAAAGGCUUAAAUUUAAUUGGAAGACGAGAAGACCCUAUAGAGCUUUAUAUUAUAUUUUAUAAUAUUUUUAUAUAAUUUUUUAUUAUAAUUGUUAAUAUUUUGUUGGGGUGACAAAAAUAUAUGAUAAACUUUUUUAUUUAUUAAACAUUGAUAUAUGAUAAUUAGAUCCAUUUUUAUUGAUUGAUAGAUUAAGUUACCUUAGGGAUAACAGCGUAAUCCUCCCCCAGAGUUCAUAUUUACGGGUAGGGCUUGCGACCUCGAUGUUGG
rnacentral:rRNA from 1 species